ensembl:lncRNA
CAGACACUGCCUAAGUGAUGAAAUGCAAUGCAGUAAUACUAGUGUCUUCAUGACAAUGUUAUGUCAGAUGUCUGAGGAAAAGACAACUUCCUACAGUUCUCCUGGCCAACUGCAACUCCAAGAAGAGGAAGCAAAGAAAAUGGGCAAAAAUUGGUAGAGGAAUUGAUCUGCAAUCCCAGCUUCCCAAACCUGAAAUGAACACAAAGAUCCUUGGGGAAAUGACUUUCAAUGUUGACUGAGUUGCAAGAGACAACUGCUGGUCUUCUCCAGGCAAAGAUGGAAAGCAAACUUCAUGAAUCUUACAAGCCAGGUCUGAAUCCAAAGUAAUAUCACGUGCCUACAGGGACUGAAAUCUGCCUUUGACACACAUGGGAUUUACUAGUCACAUUCGAUGGGGUUUUGCCUGACACCACAGACAAGAGCCACCAUGCACAGACUGCUGACAUGGCACUUCAGGGAUGGCAAGCAAUGCUCCACACUAUUGAGCAUCUCAACUAAUGGCAUCUGCAGACAACCCACAGUGGAAGAUGCAGUCCUUCAUCUCUGCAGUUAUUCACUGAUCUUCACUUACAAGAUCAAAUGUGCUGCACUUUGACCAGUGUCAGAGAAGCCACAGACUACCUAGACAUUUUAUGAGAAAUAAUCCACUAGUUGGAGCCUGUGUUGGAGAAAGAAGCUUCUCCCAAGGACCUCCUAUCUCCAUUCUCACAGUCUGCCUGUCAUUAAAACCUGAGAGUGGGAAUGCCAAGCCACAGCCAGACGUUCAAUUCAAGGCAGCAAUAAAUGAAAGUGAAGAUAAGAUGACAAGUAUUUAUGAACUACAGAAACCAAC